UACAGAGGUCUCGAGCGUUAGGCGGAAUCACUGGGCUUAAAGCGUGUGUAGGUGGAUGCCUAAGUACCUUGUGAAAUCCCACGGCUUAACCGUGGAACUGCUUGGUAUACUGAGUGUCUUGAGUCACUCAGGGGCGAGCGGAACAAAUGGUGGAGCGGUGAAAUGCGUAGAUAUCAUUUGGAACGCCAAUGGUGAAAACAGCUCGCUGGGGGUGCACUGACACUGAGACACGAAAGCCAGGGGAGCGAACGGG
rnacentral:rRNA from 1 species